GACGAACGCUGGCGGCGUGCCUAAUACAUGCAAGUAGAACGCACAGUUUAUACCGUAGCUUGCUACACCAUAGACUGUGAGUUGCGAACGGGUGAGUAACGCGUAGGUAACCUGCCUGGUAGCGGGGGAUAACUAUUGGAAACGAUAGCUAAUACCGCAUAAUAUUAAUUAUUGCAUGAUAAUUGAUUGAAAGGUGCAAUUGCACCACUACCAGAUGGACCUGCGUUGUAUUAGCUAGUAGGUGAGGUAACGGCUCACCUAGGCGACGAUACAUAGCCGACCUGAGAGGGUGAUCGGCCACACUGGGACUGAGACACGGCCCAGACUCCUACGGGAGGCAGCAGUAGGGAAUCUUCGGCAAUGGACGAAAGUCUGACCGAGCAACGCCGCGUGAGUGAAGAAGGUUUUCGGAUCGUAAAGCUCUGUUGUAAGAGAAGAACGGGUGUGAGAGUGGAAA
rnacentral:rRNA from 1 species